CAACUACUCCCUCUGUCCCAAAUUUCUUGUCUUAGAUUUGUCUAGAUACGGAUGUAUCCGGAUGUAUCUAAUACUAAAAUGUGACUUGAUACAUCUGUAUCUAGACAAAUCUAAGAAGAAUUUUGGGAUGGAGGGUGUACUUU
rfam:Triticum aestivum genome assembly, contig: Triticum_aestivum_CS42_TGACv1_scaffold_405412_5BL